rnacentral:lncRNA from 1 species
CUCACCUACCAGGACAUGUCAUCAUGACUUUGUAAAAAAGACAGUUCUAGUGGACUGGAAGAGACCAAAUAAGAGGACCAAGGGAAAUAUUUGUUGCAGAGGUCUGUGGAACAGAGUAAAAGAGUUAACAGGAAAUGAACAACUCAGGAUUUUCUUGGCACAUCCAGUGUUGAAGAGACCAGAGCGAGGCAUACUGGGGGGAAGCUGACUGCGGG